rnacentral:rRNA from 1 species
GCCUACGGGGGGCAGCAGUAGGGAAUCUUCCACAAUGGGCGAAAGCCUGAUGGAGCAACGCCGCGUGGGUGAAGAAGGUCUUCGGAUCGUAAAACCCUGUUGUUAGAGAAGAAAGUGCGUGAGAGUAACUGUUCUCGUUUCGACGGUAUCUAACCAGAAAGCCACGGCUAACUACGUGCCAGCAGCCGCGGUAAUACGUAGGUGGCAAGCGUUAUCCGGAUUUAUCGGGCGUAAAGGGAACGCAGGCGGUCUUUUAAGUCUGAUGUGAAAGCCUUCGGCUUAACCGGAGUAGUGCAUUGGAAACU